UGUGCACCUCAUGGCUGGCAAUGGCCACUCCCCUACAUUCUUUCGCAUUCAUCCCCACCAACACACGCGUUUGUGUCCAACCAUGCCACGACGAAACUUAUUUCAGUACCUGUCCUCUCAUUGAUCACGUCUCUAGGAGAUGAACUCUCAGCAGCUGGUUCUCCGGCCUUACUAAAGAACCUCAUAUAGAGGGCCCUAUUUAUACAACUUGUGUGCAUCAUAAAUUUAACAUCCUCCAUUUACCUGUUGCUUUCUGAAUCAUUUCCCUUAUGUUGAUCACUAGUUUUAUACCUCAUUUAAUGUGUAAGCAUUAUAUGCCCCAUUUUUCAAAAAUUUGGCGGCGUUAACGGCGACCACAAAUGGCCGACGAUGCAAAGAGUCAGAACACGUAAAAAAAUGCUCGGAUUGACGUCAAAUUUUUCAGGGAGGUUCCUGUUAACAAAGUAAAUUAAUGGCCUCGAAAAUAAAAUUUGGUACAUUUUGGUCUGGGUGGGAAUCAAAGCCGGGCCUCCAGGAUGUGAGACGAGCACACUUCUCCAAUGCCACGGUGGCUGCAUGGUUCUGGCUGACUAAAGGUGUACCUAGUGCGUGCAUCAUUGCAUACAUCAUGUCGCAGCCAUCUGGCUGACGAAAGGUGUGGCACGUGACGGUGCAGUGAGUGGGGAGUAGGUGGCACCAUGUCAUGAGUGUAUAGGGGGGAAUGAGCGCCCUGCCUCCGGCACGUCAGUUGCUCUGAAUUUCAUCGGUGCUGUGUCUACUGUGAUGGACUGUCAACGCCAUGUCAUGAGUGUAUAAAAUGAGCCAGUAGGGGGCCAAUGUAUGUGCAAACGCACACCGAAUCAGCAGAAAGAACUUUAUUGUAUGUUGAACACAAUCAUUUGAAAACAUUUCACCAAAGGAACUAUAAUGCUUUCGCAUUCCUACACGUAAGCACCCUUAAGUGUCUCUGCCAAAUUUUUCUUUUAACACCCCUCGUAAUGAUUUGCUAUCAUUCUGGCAGGCUUGUCUUUAAUGCCAGUUGGAUAGUUUAUGCCAACAAUGGUGGGGUCCAACUCCGUUCAUCUGGCUGAGACAAGCACCUGACUCUCCUAUCAUCUUUCUUGUAUCCCUGUUCUAAUCCUUUGUCUAAUUUUUAUCCAUUAUGCAGGGUGUCCCAGCUAUCACGCAGCACGAUUUUAAAGAGAAACGGUGUUACGCGAAGCAAACCAAGUACAUAGUGUUCCCAGUACACUGGAGUAGCCACUAAUAAUUCUUUCGUUAAUGACGUUUUAUCAUGUAAUUGUAAUUAUUUAUUUAACUCGAGAAGUACUGUCAUAAUUCUUAAAGACUCAAUGAGGCGUUUGUAGGCAACCACGUGAGCCAUCUAACUGGUAUUUUCGGCGACAUACUAAUUGCGUACUCAUUUUUUCCGAGUGAUAAAGAAACCCCACGAAAUAUUAAAAAUGCCACGUGACAGCACUCCAACCCGCAUAAUAAAGCAGCGCCCUUGAACAAGCUUCCUCUGAGUUAGCCAGAAUGAAAUAAACUAAUGAAAGAAAGAAGAAAUCGUAACUGAGUUUGUACUUUAUCUGCCAUGCGCGCCCCAGCCGAAGAAACACGUCGCAUUUGGUGUUAGUUGGAAACAAGCUGCGAUAGGCUGUUGCCUUAGCGUAGAUAGUGUGCAUGGGUGGCUUUUUUUUUUCUCUGCAGAACCUGUCACCGCAGUAGCUGAUCGAUGAAAUCAGCGUAAAGGUUUAAAGGUACGUGUUGUAUCGCCCCAGUCGCCAUGUCUUAUUCUAAUGAGCAGAAGGCAAACAUGAUACUUGCCUUGGGAGCUGCAAAUGGCAACACAAGAAAGGCCGCAAAGAUUUAUCACUCAUGGAAGUGUGGCGGUAGACCCAACUCAUUGACAAUGAUUAGAAAUUAUGAAAACCUGCGAGAAACCGGCAGCUUCAAGAAACAGUGGCUGAGGACUCCAUCUUUAAGUCCUAACCUAUGCAUGGGUGUUCUGGCAUUUAUGGCCUCAAACCCUCAAGCUAGCGUGUGAGACGUGGCCGCUGAGGCACCAAUUCUGAGUCGUCAGUUUGGAGGAUAUUAAAUGACUCGGCCUUUCACCCGUACCACCUUAACCUGCACAAAUGCUUGGAAGAGAGGGACUUGCCAGAAUCGUCUAGAUUUUUCGAAUUGGUUCCUCACAAAAUCCAAUUAAUCACCAAACUUUCUUAGCGACAUCAUCUGGACAGAUAAAGCCAAUUUUUGCAGAAACGGCCAUGUAAAUCUGCAUAAUGCACAACAUUGGAAUGACUCCAAUCCACACUGGGUAAAGCGCACUCGGCACCAGUACCAGUGGUCAUUCAAUGUGUGGCAUGGAAUUUACGACGGUGGAAUAAUUGGUCCCAUUUUCUUCGAUCAGACACUGACCCGCUGUAUUCACAAACCAACCGAACCCUUCUCUUUAGUGUUCCUUACCUUAUCGGCUCCUUACCGCAUUUCAGAAAUAGACCUAGCACUCAGCGGCUCCCUUUCGCCCAACUUAAGGUCACGAAGAGGGAGCCUCCUUAAGGCAGCAUCUGAGGUAGCUGAACAGCUCCUCAUCCCAUCCAACAUGGUGGCGUGCUACGACGACAGCUUAAGCGAGUUCGUCGAUUUUGUCAACCGUGCAAAAGAAAUGGACAACAAAGCGUAGUUUUGUGCAGCCAUGGCAGCGGAACCUUGGCAAUCGCCAGAAUCCCAUGGAGUUUUACAAUAACCAGGAGUUUUUAGUGAGGUACCGCUUCUCAAAGGCUACUGUGCUCGAACUGCUGACCAUGUUGCCACUGCACCAGAACACAGAUGGACGUGGUUGCCCAGUGCUGCCACUGUUGCAACUGCUCGUGACACUUAGUUUUUACGGUGUGGGAACUUUUCAGGUUGUCUCAGGCGACCUAGUUUACGUGUCGCAGCCAACUGUUUCCCGUGUUGUCACGCGGGUGUCGACAAUGAUUGCCGCAACAUUGUUCCCUGCGCUUGUUAAGUUCCCCAACGCUGGGAAAAUGCGUGAAGUCAUGCACCAGUUUUACACCAAGGCGAAGUUUCCCAGGGUGACUGGUUGCAUUGAUUGCACCCACGUGUGUAUCAAAAGUUCAGGCAGAGACGCCGCCAAAGUAUUCCACAACAAGAAGGGAUAUUUCUCAUCCACGAUGCAGGCAAUCACAGGACCUGAACUUCAAUUUUUGGAUUUAGUUGCAAGCUGGCUGGGCUCCGCACAUGACCGCAGGAUUUUCGACAACAGCAAUGUUAAGAGUAUGUUAUGAGGAAAGGGGAUGUACCUGGCGUACUCCUCGGCGACAUGGGGCAUGCUUGCCGGCCAUACCUUAUGGCGCCGCUAAAAGAUCCUGGAGGCAAGGACAGCCUGGAGUCCAGGUACAACAAGUCCCAAAUCCGGACGAGGAACACCGUCGAAGGGGCUUUCGGCAUCUGGAAAAUACGAUUCCCAUGUCUUGAUAUGAAGCUACAAAUAGAAACGACUUCUGUCAUUGUCAUCACGGCAUGUGCAGCUCUGCACAACUUUGGCCGGAACCAUCCAAGUGAUGAACUGCUUCCCCAAUGUUCAGCAGCCCUCCCCAGCUUCACAAGCUCAAGGAGCACAGCCCUUUGACUCGGCGAGUGGGUUCAGAACUCAAGCACGGAUUAUUCAGCAAUAUUUUCCCUAAAAUGUGGCAGAGCAAAACAGGGCAUGCAUAUAGAAAAUUUAAAAAAUUGUGCCAUUUUACUUACUGACUUUUCUCACUGCGGUUAUUUUCAGCAUGAGAAGCUCGAGCUUUGCCUUCUUGCUUGUACAUUCAAGCUCAUGCAUUUGUAUUGCAUGCUUCAUAUGAAGUGCAUGCUCAGAUCUCAUGAACUUCAUCUUGAGCAGGUGCUCCCUCCUCUUUUGUUUGUUGUCUUCUUCAACACUUCUAAGGAGGUUGCUAAGCUCUUCUUCAACGGCUGCCCUCUUUGUGUGCAUUCAGCAUUGCGCAGGAGCUGGGUGUUGCCGAGUAGCCUGCAACGGGGCAGCCUGUAAUGGGGAAGCCAGUUGCGGAGAAGCCAGUUGCGGGACAGCAGGUUGCAGGUCAGCUGGUUUUAUUUCUGCCAACAGCUCGACCUCGGCUGCGGUUGCUCCAUUUUGUGUUUCUUGGAUGCAGACCGCCUGGCUGCUUUCAUCUUUAGGGCUUGCCGGGAUAUCCUACUGAUAGAUGCUAUGGUCCAACUUUUAUUUGGUCCUGCAGGG